AACGAACGCUGGCGGUAUGCCUAACACAUGCAAGUCGAACGGGACCUCCGGGACAAGUGGCGCACGGGUGCGUAACGCGUGGGACCCUGCCCUUAGGUUUGGAAUACUACUCUGUCGGGGGUGCUAAUACCGGUUAAUGUCUUCGGAUAAAAGAUUUAUCUCAUUUGGAUGGGCCCGCGUUGGAUUAGCUAGUUGGUAGGGUAAAAGCCUACCAAGGCGACGAUCCAUAGCUGGUCUGAGAGGAUGAUCAGCCACACUGGGACUGGGACACGGCCCGGACUCCUACGGGAGGCAGCAGUGGGGAAUAUUGGACAAUGGGCUAAAGCCAGAUCCAGCAAUGCCGCGUGAGUGAUGAAGUCCUUAGAGUUGUAAAGCUCUUUUACCCGGGAUGAUAAUGACAGUACCGGGAGAAUAAGCUCCGGCUAACUCCGUG
rnacentral:rRNA from 1 species